CGUACCUGAAGAAAAAGCAUCGGCUAACUCCGUGCCAGCAGCCGCGGUAAUACGGAGGAUGCGAGCGUUAUCCGGAUUUAUUGGGUUUAAAGGGUGCGUAGGCGGCAAGUCAAGUCAGCGGUAAAAGCCCGGGGCUCAACCCCGGCGAGCCGUUGAAACUGACGGGCUAGAGACGGCGAGAGGUACGCGGAAUGCGCAGUGUAGCGGUGAAAUGCAUAGAUAUUGCGCAGAACUCCGAUUGCGAAGGCAGCGUACUGGCGCCGGACUGACGCUGAGGCACGAAAGCGUGGGGAUCGAACAGGCUUAGAUACCCUGGUAGUCCACGCAGUAAACGAUGAAUGCCGGCUGUUCGGGUCGAUUGAGACCUGGGCGGCGAAGCGAAAGCGAUAAGCAUUCCACCUGGGGA
rnacentral:rRNA from 1 species